rnacentral:rRNA from 1 species
GCAGUCGAGCGGACCGACGGGAGCUUGCUCCCUUAGGUCAGCGGCGGACGGGUGAGUAACACGUGGGUAACCUGCCUGUAAGACUGGGAUAACUCCGGGAAACCGGGGCUAAUACCGGAUGCUUGAUUGAACCGCAUGGUUCAAUCAUAAAAGGUGGCUUUUAGCUACCACUUACAGAUGGACCCGCGGCGCAUUAGCUAGUUGGUGAGGUAACGGCUCACCAAGGCGACGAUGCGUAGCCGACCUGAGAGGGUGAUCGGCCACACUGGGACUGAGACACGGCCCAGACUCCUACGGGAGGCAGCAGUAGGGAAUCUUCCGCAAUGGACGAAAGUCUGACGGAGCAACGCCGCGUGAGUGAUGAAGGUUUUCGGAUCGUAAAACUCUGUUGUUAGGGAAGAACAAGUACCGUUCGAAUAGGGCGGUACCUUGACGGUACCUAACCAGAAAGCCACGGCUAACUACGUGCCAGCAGCCGCGGUAAUACGUAGGUGGCAAGCGUUGUCCGGAAUUAUUGGGCGUAAAGCGCGCGCAGGCGGUUUCUUAAGUCUGAUGUGAAAGCCCCCGGCUCAACCGGGGAGGGUCAUUGGAAACUGGGGAACUUGAGUGCAGAAGAGGAGAGUGGAAUUCCACGUGUAGCGGUGAAAUGCGUAGAGAUGUGGAGGAACACCAGUGGCGAAGGCGACUCUCUGGUCUGUAACUGACGCUGAGCGCGAAAG